rnacentral:lncRNA from 1 species
GUACGAAAGAAAAAGGUAAGCUUCUGUGAGUAUGUAAAAUAUAUUAUAUAGCAUAACAUCUUAUCAAGAGGCUGUAUUUUAUAUAUAUAUAUAUAUAUUCUACAAAAAGUAAAUUAAAAAAAAUACUGAACUCCGAGGACGUACUGUUAGAAGAUUAAUACUGUUAUCUGUUCUCUUGAGAAAUAUAUACCCAUAUAUAUAUAACAUAAGUAGACCAUUCUCGUAAAAUACAACUUUGUAUAAAUUAAUUCCUAUCAAUACAUUUAUGAAACAAAUAUUGCUCGAUUAUAAAAUAAUCAUGAAGAAAAAGCAAAAAGACAAAAAUAUUAAACCGAAAACUAUAUGAUAAACAACACAUAAUAUUUCUUAAUAAGUACACUUAAAAAGUACACUAACACUUCCUGAUUGGGCUGCAAUGUAAAUUCUUUUAAUUUCCAUUUAUCUUUUACAGGAUAUAUAGAUUUUGAAGUGUGACGUAAAAUGAUAUAAAAAUAAUAGUUUGAUCUUAUCUGCCAUAUUAAUUCGAAUAUGGAUGUAUCGUUAGUGCCAGAAAUUUUUGUUAUAAUUCUGACUUUGAUUGUUAUUUUCGCGCUGGUGCUGCUAUGUUUUUCAGCACAACACAAAUAUUCAGUAACUUUUAUCAGCAUUGUAGCUGUUGAAUAUAUAUUUGAAAUGUUUCGUGUUUUAUAUUUUAUUAAACUUUACUGGAAUAGAACAAUUGUGAUCUGGUUUGAUCUUCCUAUCAGAAGUAUGCCAGCAGUUUCGAUGAUUUGUUCCGUACUACUUGGCACAAUUGUAUUGACAUCAGUUCCAUUUAAAAAGUCGUUAGUAAAAGUCGUCUGCUUGAUCUACGUCUGUUUAGCGCUUAUACUAAUUAUUAUAUGGAACAAUCUCUUGUCAACAUGCUUGAUUGUUGAACAUCCUGAGAAAACCAAACACAUUUUCUGUGAUUCAUUCUUGAAAGAUUCGAACCUGAUGGAUUACUACCAAUGCAUCAACGAUGAGUCAAUAAGUAAGCUACAGGUCCUUACCAAACCCAGGCCUAAUACGUCUUUUUAUUGCUUUGAGAAUCGGGCACCUUGGACCAGCAGUUUCUAUCUGGAGUAUUUGUUAUUAUGCGUCCCGUCUUUUGCAAUACUGUACAACAUGGUAUACAAAACGUCAUCAUUUUCUGGUUAGUAUAAUUUUGAGUUUGUAAGAAAUUAAAGUGUGCAUGACAAUAACAUUUGCCUUACCAAUCAUCGUUGAGAAAAGUAGCGACACAAUAUGUUCAUUUUCUAAACUUUCAAUAAAAUGCAAAACAAGACAGAGUGUAGCACUUUUCUCAAUUUUCAAAAUUUGAUCGAAAAAAGAGAAAACAUAUAUAUUUUAUAAAUUGCACUGGGUAUUUUCUGCGCCGUAAUGUCUAAGUAACAAGAAAACUGUUUACAAGUGAUAUUUUGUGUGCAUAUUUCGGCUAUCUUCAAAAUAAAUGUAGUGGUUUUGACAUACUUUUUUUAAUUUCAUCUACUCUAUUAUUUGUCACCACCGGCUUUAUAUAAAAAUCACGUUUUGAAAUGGCAUCAAAUAAAAGCUAAUGAACGUAAAACAAACAACAACCAAUUGAACUAUUCUAAAUAGAAAGAAAUUAAAACUUGAAUAGAACCUGAAAAAAACUGGUGAGCUAGGUUAUACUGGAGAAAAAUGUAUAAGUAUAGCUUUUAAAACAAGAAUGUGUCCACAGUACACGGAUGCCCCACUCGCACUAUCAUUUUCUAUGUUUACUGGACCGUGAAAUUGAAAUAAAUUCUCUAAUUUGGCAUUAAAAUUAGAAUGAUCUUAUCAAAAGGAACAUGUAUACUAAGUUUCAAGUUGAUUGGUGUUCAACUUCAUCAAAAAACUAACUUGACCAAAAACUUUAACCUGAAGUGUAACAGACGGACGGACGAACGACAGAUGGACAGAUGAACGAACGGACGAACGAACGGACGCACAGACCAGAAAACAUAAUGCCCCUCUACUAUCGUAGGUGGGACAUAAAAAGUUCAUCAAAGAGUUUUUCGAAAAACUAAGUAUGGCACAACUUUUUUUUUUGGAAUUUUGGAUCCUCUAAUGCUCUUCAACUUUGUACUUGUUUGGUUUUAUAAAUAUUUUGACAUGAGCGUCACUGAUGAGUCUUAUGUAGACGAAACGCGCGUCUGGCGUACUAAAUCAUAAUCCUGGUAUCUAUGAUAACUAUUCCAAUGGUUAUAAUUAUGUGAAUCACAAAAUUUAUAAAUAUUAGUAAAAUUUUGUAGAAUAAUCAUAAAGUAUGUAAACAUACCCUCAUUUAUAUCGUGUUUUCCAUUUCAGAACUGAGGAAUUCUUCAUCAAAGGAAACAUGUUCCCUCUGCCGUUUCAACAUAUCUCUUUACAACCAUACAAUUCCGCGCGCCCUCUUUAUAAUUUGGUGCGUUAGACCGACUUUGUUUUUAUUCAUUGCAUCCGGAUUUUAUCGUGCUACGUCGAUUUAUAUUGACUCAUUUAUCAUGAUAUCAUCAGUGACAUUUUUUAUUCUGGUUUUGUUUGACAUUCUUAAGUUCUAUCUUUUUCAAGAAAUGGAAUGUAUUGUUUACAAUAAAAGUGACUAUAACGGCGCCAUAAAAAACUGUGGACAAAACAAAGAGAGUUUCAUAGAUUGUGAGCAAAUUAAAUGCUUAGAAUAAAGCGCGAGCUACAUGAAUGCUUACAAUUGUGAAGAGCAAGAUGAAUGCUUAAAAUAAUAUAUAACUCUUGCAUGUUUCAUUUAUUAUAAGCUAGAAAAAAUUGCUGUCGUUUGGCAUGGUUGGUGCAAAAUUCUUAAUAUUUUGUCACAAUUUUGAGUAUUAUAGAAAUAUAUGUUUAAGUUUUGUAUUCAUGUAUCAAUCAAAAAUGUGCAUAUUUUCAUACCAAAUGAUAUUGUUUUCUUAUUGACCCAGUAUAAAUUGAAUGAGUAAUGUCAGAAAAUGAAUUUUAUGCUGUUUUCUUUUCAAUGGAUAUAUUCAACCAUUUUUUUAUUAGUAGUAGUCUUAGAUCCUGUUAUGUUAGAAAAGGAAUCUUAACAAUUCAGGAUAUAGCUUCUUUAUACAAUUGUCAUAUUGUAUCAUUUCAAAAACAAAUUAAUCAAAAAAAAAUAAUCGUUUAAAAAAAAAAUUGGUUACUUCCUUGACAAACUAAAAAUUCAUUUUCAAUUUAAUUUAAAAAGUUUAAAAACGAAUUUUGUCAUCA